AUUUAAGUAGCUUAUUUUAGAGCAUGACAUUGAAGAUGUCAGGGAGGUUUUAUACUCUUAGAUA
rnacentral:tRNA from 1 species